rnacentral:rRNA from 1 species
AACGAACGCUGGCGGCGUGCUUAACACAUGCAAGUCGUGCGGUAACAGGCGUAGCAAUACGUGCUGACGAGCGGCGAACGGGUGCGUAAUACAUGGGAAUCUGCCCUUUAGUGGGGAAUAACCCGGCGAAAGCCGGGCUAAUGCCGCAUAAGAUCUUCGGAUGAAAGCGGGGGAUCGUAAGACCUCGCGCUGAUGGAUGAGCCCAUGUCGGAUUAGCAGUUGGUGAGGUAAAGGCUCACCAAGGCGACGAUCCGUAGCUGGUCUGAGAGGACGGCCAGCCACACUGGGACUGAGACACGGCCCAGACUCCUACGGGAGGCAGCAGUGGGGAAUAUUGGACAAUGGGGAAACCCUGAUCCAGCGACGCCGCGUGUGUGAAGAAGGCCU